CGUCUGGUAAUUGGAAUGAGUACAAUUUAAAUCCCUUAACGAGGAUCAAUUGGAGGGCAAGUCUGGUGCCAGCAGCCGCGGUAAUUCCAGCUCCAAUAGCGUAUAUUAAAGUUGCUGCAGUUAAAAAGCUCGUAGUUGAAUUUCUGGUACGAUGUGCCUGGUCCACGGUCGCAAGGCCGCGCGUAUCGGAGUACGUCUGCCAUCCUUCUAGUUAACUGGCUAUACUUAACUGUGUGGUCAGCAACCUAGAUCUUUUACUUUGAAAAAAUUAGAGUGUUUAAAGCAGGCUCGCGCUGUGAAUACAUUAGCAUGGAAUAAUAAUUUAGGACUUUGCUUCUAUUUUAUUGGUUUCUAGGGGUAAAGUAAUGAUUGAUAGGGAUAGUUGGGGGUGCUAGUAUUCAUCGGCCAGAGGUGAAAUUCUUGGAUUCGAUGAAGACUAACUUAUGCGAAAGCAUUCACCAAGGAUGUCUUCUUUAAUCAAGAACGAAAGUUGGGGGAUCGAAGACGAUCAGAUACCGUCGUAGUCUCAACCAUAAACUAUACCGACUAGGGAUUAGUGGAAGUUGCUAUAUCGACUCCAUUAGCACCUUAUGAGAAAUCAGAAGUCUUUGGGUUCUGGGGGGAGUAUGGUCGCAAGGCUGAAACUUAAGGGAAUUGACGGAAGGGCACCACCAGGAGUGGAGCCUGCGGCUUAAUUUGACCCAACACGGGGAAACUUACCAGGUCCGGACAUAGUGAGGAUUGACAGAUUGAAGUUCUUUCUUGAUUCUAUGGGUGGUGGUGCGUGGCCGUUCUUAGUUGGUGGAGUGAUUUGUCUGGUUAAUUCCGUUAACGAACGAGACCUCGACCUGCUAAAUAGUAUGACGUAGGCUCUGUCUAUGGACAUGACUUCUUAGAGGGACUGUCGGUUUUUAGCCGAAGGAAGUUCGAGGCAGUAACAGGUCUGUGAUGCCCUUAGAUGUUCUGGGCCGCACGCGCGCUACACUGAUACGUGCAUCGAGCUUACAACCUUGGCUGGGAGGCCUGGGUAAUCUUUGAAAAGCGUAUCGUGCUGGGGAUAGAUUAUUGUAAUUAUUAAUCUUCAACGAGGAAUUCCUAGUAAGCGCGAGUCAUCAACUCGCACUGAUUACGUCCCUGCCCUUUGUACACACCGCCCGUCGCUGCUACCGAUUGAAUGCAUUAGUGAGCUUGAGGGAUCGUUUAGCUUGAGGGUCAAACUUCGAGUUAAGUGAGAACUCACGCAAACUUGCGCAUUUAGAGGAAGCAAAAGUCGUAACAAGGUUUCCGUAGGUGAACCUGCGGAAG
rnacentral:rRNA from 1 species